rfam:Loxodonta africana unplaced genomic scaffold scaffold_0, whole genome shotgun sequence.
AGUGGUUAAGUGCUUGGCUGCUAACCAAAAGGUCGGUGGUUCGAACCCACCAGCUGCUC